UGCAAAGCGAGGCUGAAGAAGGCCAAGGCUGCAGAAGCCAAAGCCACGACGGUGCCUGACUUUCAGGAGACUAGACCUCGUAAUUACAUUCUCUCGGCCAGCGCCUCCGCGGUAAGCGCACCCCACCCCCACCCCACCCCUCGUCCUCCUCUCUCCCCACGUCCCACGCCACUGCCUCUGACUGCCACAGGAGCUAGAAGCCAGCGGGUAAGGUGGGGGCACUGCCAUGUGAUCAGGUCAGUCCUGAGACACUGGGGAGGGGCAGCAGCCCCCACCUCUGUUCAUGGCCUGGCCCGGGUGCCCUGUGGCCAUGGAGCUGGACUUGUUUCCCUCUGCAAAAUGCUGGAGCUGGCGGCAGGGCCAGCUGCACUGAGUAGUGUGGAGAACUCAGGGCAGCACCUGUCCCAUCCCCAGGGCCCCUCCACCUCCUGCUGUCUCUGAAUGCCAGGCCCUGGGGAGGCCCUGAGGAUAGAGGAGGAGGCCUGGCCAUGCCUUUCCGGAGUUCACAGACCCCUAAAGACAGGAGGCAGGGACGGCGGUGUAGGCCUGGAGAGCGCCUGGGGGGCGGGAGGGCCUGAGGCUGUGCUAAGGCCCAGAGGUCCUGGAGCAGGGCAUGUCUUG
rnacentral:sRNA from 1 species